UGGUUCCUACGGGACGCAGCAGUGAGGAAUAUUGGUCAAUGGUCGGGAGACUGAACCAGCCAAGCCGCGUGAGGGAUGAAGGUACAGAGUAUCGUAACCCUCUUUUGUCAGGGAACAAAGGCGGGGACGUGUCCCCGGAUGAGUGUACCUGAAGAAAAAGCAUCGGCUAACUCCGUGCCAGCAGCCGCGGUAAUACGGAGGAUGCGAGCGUUAUCCGGAUUUAUUGGGUUUAAAGGGUGCGCAGGCGGUCUGUUCAGUCAGCGGUCAAAGCCCUGGGCUCAACCCCGGCCCGCCGUUGA
rnacentral:rRNA from 1 species